UUUCAUUCAAUUAAAACGGGUUGGGAUUAAAUGUGUUCAAAAUACAAACUUUAGAAUGUAUUGUGUUCAUUGUCGAAAAAUCUCGUUUGAGGUUGUGGGCGGCGGAUCUGAAGAUGUGGUGGUGGUGGUGAGUAUGGUGGUUGUGCAAGAGGGCGGAGCUGGGUUGUGGGCGGCGGAUGUGAAGAAGAUGUGGUGAUGGUGGUGAGCUUGGUGGUUGUGCAAGAGGGCGGAGCUGGUUCCUGGUGGUGAGCGGCGGAC
rnacentral:lncRNA from 1 species